UGCUUUCUGGCUGUGAUAUGUGUCAUUCCAUGGAUCAGCAGAGGUCAUUUGGUUGAUCUGGAUGGAUAAGUUCCUGUAGCCUUUCUCUCUCGUUGCUCCAUGUGUAUCUCUCUUGAAUCUGACUAAUUGGUCAAACAGGACCUUCCUUGACAGAGAAGGAUCAUUCUUCAGUCAGGUGCAUAGUAGUAGCUGCAUACCCUUGCUAGACCUACCAAAUUAGAUCAUAUCACACCUGUUCGCAGAGUUCCCUGGUGGCUAUCUUAUUCCUGCUUUUCUAGACUGUAAUGUAAGCUUGAUAUGGUUCCAGAUCUGGUUAUUAGUGUUU
rnacentral:snRNA from 1 species